rnacentral:rRNA from 1 species
GACGAACGCUGGCGGCGUGCCUAAUACAUGCAAGUCGAGCGGAAGUUGGAGAGCUUGCUCUUCAACUUUAGCGGCGGACGGGUGAGUAACACGUGGGCAACCUGCCCUGCAGAUCGGGAUAACUCCGGGAAACCGGUGCUAAUACCGAAUAGUUUUCGCCACCUCCUGGUGGCGUACGGAAAGACGGUUUCGGCUGUCACUGCAGGAUGGGCCCGCGGCGCAUUAGCUAGUUGGCGGGGUAACGGCCCACCAAGGCGACGAUGCGUAGCCGACCUGAGAGGGUGAUCGGCCACACUGGGACUGAGACACGGGCCAGACUCCUACGGGGGGCAGCAGUAGGGAAUCUUCCGCAAUGGACGAAAGUCUGACGGAGCAACGCCGCGUGAGUGACGAAGGUUUUCGGAUCGUAAAACUCUGUUGUGAGGGAAGAACAAGUACCACUUAACUACUGGUACCUUGACGGUACCUCACCAGAAAGCCACGGCUAACUACGUGCCAGCCGCCGCAGUAA